UUCACUGGAGUCUGAAGCUACACUUUCAAUAGUCAUGGUUUUCUUAUUUUGCCUUGUUGUGGUUUUUUGUUUUAUUUUAAAGAAGAUUGCAAAGUCAAAGCAGAAAAAGAAAGCUCAAAGACAAAAGAAAACUAUUUAAACAACGGAGACAAAAAUAUUAGAAUCCUUGGAAUCCACCCCUUCAGAACGUCUUCCCUCGAAUUUCUGUAGCUCCACCACCUCAUAUCUCUGGAAGAAAUUAUAAAGUUAUGAUUCAUGAACCCAAAGAUGACAAUACUUACAUUUAUCCAGCUUAUGAACGUGAUGGCUCUGUGGGAACAUCUCAAACAGAAGCAAAUUAUGGAAACAAGUAUUCUGCCAACAUACACAUGAAGCCGCUAUUUAGUUUAACAUCAGGAAUUCCAAAAUCAAGCUACAUUCAAAAAGAAAGACAACAAUUUGUAUACUCAGACUCUGAAGCACCAGAUAAAUUACUACGUAUGUAGAUGAAACUCAAUUGUUAAAUGUUCCUACAGAUAAAAACAUGUGAUCAUUUGUAAGAACAAGCUGGAAUACUUUAAGAGGGCACAAUGAGUAUGAUUUCCUUAUGUUCCAUAUUAAAACUGUGCCUUCA